GACGAACGCUGGCGGCGUGCCUAAUACAUGCAAGUCGAACGAACCGCGACUAGGUGCUUGCACUUGGUCAAGGUGAGUGGCGAACGGGUGAGUAACACGUGGGUAACCAACCUCAUAGUGGGGGAUAACAGUCGGAAACGACUGCUAAUACCGCAUAGGACAUAGGAUCACAUGAUUCUGUGAGGAAAGGUGGCGCAAGCUAUCGCUAAGAGAUGGACCCGCGGUGCAUUAGCUAGUUGGUAGGGUAAAGGCCUACCAAGGCGAUGAUGCAUAGCCGACCUGAGAGGGUGAUCGGCCACAUUGGGACCGAGACACGGCCCAAACUCCUACGGGAGGCAGCAGUAGGGAAUCUUCCGCAAUGGACGCAAGUCUGACGGAGCAACGCCGCGUGAGUGAAGAAGGUCUUCGGAUCGUAAAGCUCUGUUGUUAGAGAAGAACAGCGCAUAGAGUAACUGUUAUGCGUGUGACGGUAUCUAACCAGAAAGCCACGGCUAACUACGUG
rnacentral:rRNA from 1 species